GUGACACAACCUCUGCCAAAAGCCCCAUAGGCUCCAAUACAAAUCUGGCGACAUAUUUCUCAAAAAAUCCAGAAGUUACAUGUAGCAGUAUGUAAAUAGGAUUGUCCUGCUACAGUUAACUGCGCCUGCCGACCACUAGGGCGGCGGUAGUAUAUAAAGGCUACCCCCCUUCUCGCGCCCCACUGAUGCAUCAUUUCCGGGUCAGGUGUCUGUCUGCACAGAGUAGUGACAGAGUGCUCCGUGCACCGUGCUCCUUUUUGCUCUUUGGUCCUCUCAACCGGUGGUAAGUGUCCUCUCGUUCUCUCUCUCCGUGUUAGACCGAACAAUAUUCUGUAGCUAAUGUUAGUGUGGUCACAGGUAGAUGUCUUCCUGCCGUGUGGGUCUUUCUCUCCCUCCCUCUCCCUGUACAGGUUUGACCUGGGAAAUAGGACACGAGACAAGAAGAGGAGCCCACAAAGAAGGAAGAGAAAACACAGCUUUUCAGAAACGUCGAAGGAGGACCGCCAUUGCCAUCCCCCUCUAACUCUCCUUCCAUUACGUGUGAGGAUCCCUCUCCCACCCCCCCAGAUCCCCCAUCCAGGUCCACGUCUCCCUUUUUCUCCCUCCCUUCAGUAAACCUUUCUCCCCUCUCCUCCCCUUUGGAGUUACCCCCACUUACCCCCCGCCCUACUCCUAUUUUUACUCCCUUAGAUUGACCACAGCGCCCUCCCCCCCAGCGUCCACCUGCACCAGCUCAUCUCAGCGGUGACGCCAUCUCACGGCGAUCUGCCCCCCCCCACCUCUACGAAGACGUGCUCCACAAUCCAUCCCAGCUGCGACGCUGCUCACUCCCCCCACUUAGGCCCACCCCCUCCUCCUUCUGACAGCAGCCCUGAAUAUUACUGAGAUAGAAAAGGGUUCAGCAAUAGACCGCAGUAUCAGCUGGACCCAAGGUCACCUACAUCAAAAAAAGGCACCUUCUGCAUUCCUGUUGUGACCACCAAGAGAGUGAACAUUGCGAAACUUAGACACACUGCUAAUCUAAUUAAUCUCAUUCCUAUUCUCUCCAGCUCAAAGUCAACCCCAAAACCUGUGAAUAACUGCUUAAUGUUAGGUCUCUUGAUAACCAAUCGUUUUUAGUCAAUGAUUUUAUUACCACUUUUAAACUUGAUUUCAUGUUUUUAACUGAAACAUGGCUAGAACAAAAUAACAGUGCAAGCAUUCUGAUUGAGGCAGCACCCCCCAACUAUAACUUUAUUGAUGUAUGUAGAUCUGGAAAAAGAGGUGGAGGAGUUGCUGCUAUAUUUAAAAAUGUAUUUCAGGGGAAACAGAUGUCACUUAGUGAUUUUCCAUCAUUCGAAUAUCUUGGUGUUGUAUUGAAAGGUUCUCCCAGAGUUCUCCUGUUAAUUAUUUACAGGCCACCUAAAUAUGAAUUAUUGUCUAGCAUCUCUACCGACUUUGACUGUCUAGUUUUAACUGGUGACUUUAAUUUUCAU